UACAGAGGUCUCAAGCGUUGUUCGGAUUCAUUGGGCGUAAAGGGCGUGUAGGCGGCGCCGUAAGUCGGGUGUGAAAUUUCGGAGCUUAACUCCGGAACUGCAUUCGAUACUGCGGUGCUUGAGGACUGGAGAGGAGACUGGAAUUCAUGGUGUAGCAGUGAAAUGCGUAGAGAUCAUGAGGAAGACCAGUGGCGAAGGCGGGUCUCUGGACAGUUCCUGACACUGAGACACGAAGGCCAGGGGAGCAAACGGG
rnacentral:rRNA from 1 species